AGACUCCUACGGGAGGCAGCAGUGGGGAAUUUUGGACAAUGGGCGAAAGCCUGAUCCAGCCAUGCCGCGUGUCUGAAGAAGGCCUUCGGGUUGUAAAGGACUUUUGUUAGGGAAGAAAAGGUUGAUGCUAAUAUCAUUAACUGAUGACGGUACCUAAAGAAUAAGCACCGGCUAACUACGUGCCAGCAGCCGCGGUAAUACGUAGGGUGCGAGCGUUAAUCGGAAUUACUGGGCGUAAAGCGAGCGCAGACGGUUAGUUAAGCAAGAUGUGAAAUCCCCGAGCUCAACUUGGGAACUGCGUUUUGAACUGGCUAGCUAGAGUGUGUCAGAGGGGGGUAGAAUUCCACGUGUAGCAGUGAAAUGCGUAGAGAUGUGGAGGAAUACCGAUGGCGAAGGCAGCCCCCUGGGAUAACACUGACGUUCAUGCUCGAAAGCGUGGGUAGCAAACAGGAUUAGAUACCCUGGUAGUCCACGCCCUAAACGAUGUCAAUUAGCUGUUGGGCAACUUGAUUGCUUAGUAGCGUAGCUAACGCGUGAAAUUGACCGCCUGGGGAGUACGGUCGCAAGAUUAAAACUCAAAGGAAUUGACGG
rnacentral:rRNA from 1 species